rnacentral:rRNA from 1 species
ACGGGUGAGUAACGCGUAUCCAACCUUCCCAUAACUACGGGAUAACCCGUUGAAAGACGGCCUAAUACCGUAUGACAUCGUUUGCUGACAUCAAAUAACGAUUAAAGGUUUAGCGGUUAUGGAUGGGGAUGCGUCUGAUUAGCUUGUUGGCGGGGUAACGGCCCACCAAGGCGACGAUCAGUAGGGGUUCUGAGAGGAAGGUCCCCCACAUUGGAACUGAGACACGGUCCAAACUCCUACGGGAGGCAGCAGUGAGGAAUAUUGGUCAAUGGGCGAGAGCCUGAACCAGCCAAGUAGCGUGCAGGAUGACGGCCCUAUGGGUUGUAAACUGCUUUUAUGUGGGGAUAAAGUGCGUGACGUGUCAUGCAUUGCAGGUACCACAUGAAUAAGGACCGGCUAAUUCCGUGCCAGCAGCCGCGGUAAUACGGAAGGUCCGGGCGUUAUCCGGAUUUAUUGGGUUUAAAGGGAGCGUAGGCUGUCUAUUAAGCGUGUUGUGAAAUUUACCGGCUCAACCGGUGGCUUGCAGCGCGAACUGGUCGACUUGAGUAUGCAGGAAGUAGGCGGAAUUCAUGGUGUAGCGGUGAAAUGCUUAGAUAUCAUGACGAACUCCGAUUGCGCGGCCAGCUUACUGUAGCAUAACUGACGCUGAUGCUCGAAAGUGCG